rfam:Clostridium beijerinckii NCIMB 8052, complete genome.
AUAUUGAAUUGGCAAAGCAGUUGAAAAACUGUGACGCAAAGCUAGAGGGCCUUUUCCUUUUGAAAGGAUGGCAGCCAGUUGCAAGU